AGACGGGGAAUCUCCAGAAGAAGAUUGAGGGUCUUUACCUCAGUGUGAAACAGAGGAAACACUACCUCUACCGUUUGACAGUUUCUUUUGUCCAUGGUUGUGCCACAGCUGUGUGGUUGCGCUCUGACAGUGACAAGUGGCAAGCAGGACAUCCUGAUUGAAUAAAAAGCUGCUACAACCUGUCCCUACCUACUCUGAACUGCUCCGGGUGUCUUAGACAUUGGACAGUGGGGCUGGACGAACUUGUAAAGAGUGGCUACUGGCCAGCCACCGUGACACACCAGACCAUCUUCACAGUGGACCUCUUCAGGUCAUUUGAAGACAUGAAGGUGUUGGCCCCAGGAAGCUGCCCUCAAGCCUUUGUGUGAAUGCUUGAUGGAAGAACAAAGCACUUUGGCAGGCCACACUUCAGGAUAGUCAGACAGGGCAGACGGGGAAUCUCCAGAAGAAGAUUGAGGGUCUUUACCUCAGUGUGAAACAGAGGAAACACUACCUCUACCGUUUGACAGGUAAGCCCCAACAACAAUAUGACCUCAAACACAUUAUUAAUCAAGCAGUAAAACGAGUAAAAUCACUACAUGUUUAUGUGGUCAUCACCUAUGUUUUUAAUUGAUAUAAUGCAAACAUUUAAUUAAACUCAGAAUUUCUUGACCAUCAACAGAGCAUCUCGUGAGCCACAACUCUGCAUGCCUUGUAUAAUGUUAUAACUACAUGACAACAAGUGCUUUAUAAAUGAGUACCUCUAUAACGUAUAGUCCUGUAAUACUGUAUAUCUGUCUAAUCACCCCUUUUUAUUCUGACAAUAACAAGAGUUAUUGAUUAUGAGAAAUUGUUGAGGUCAAAGCAGCCUUUACAGCUGCCAUUGUUCAACUUUAUGAGCAUCAGGCAGAGUUUAGGCUCCCCACGGUGGAUGAGGUGCUCAAUAUUGACAACUUUGUGUGGCCAUGGGAGAGACUUGGCAACAGUAAGUAUAUGAUUACACAAGGUAUCUAUUGUGAUUGAAGAUUAGCCUUCACCAUCGCUGCAAUCAUUGCUGUUGUUCUGUUAUAUACCUCUGUGAGUUUACAUCUCACAGGCAACAGCCAUCUUGCCAAAAGAAGGCGAUUUUCAACAGACAUGUUGGUGAACAGACUGCAGGAGUAAGAGAGGAUCCUGGUGCAGGAGAUGAAGAGGCACUUGGGGAGCCCACAAAGAGCAGCGAGAACUCUGGAGGCACUGUCCCUACAGCUGCAAGAUCAGAGGAAGUUGAGGCAAUGCAGUGGAGUUGUCAGAGGGAGGAAGGAAUGGACUUCUCUGCCACCUGAAGGGAAGAUUGAGUGAACUGACACAAGACCAAGUCAACACCACGAAUAACUAUCACAAGCUGAUUCUGGGAGAAGGGUAUAUUUUUGAUGACUCUGAUGUAGAUGUGAACUCAGAUGAAGAUAGAUAUAGAUCCUAUUGCUGAGAGCUCAGAUGACGACUGCUAUGCUUUCUGAAAUCAUACAUCACCCCUGCCUCUUUCUCUCGGUCUCGCUCUCUCCCGUAGGAGAGGGAAAAGGCUGCCACUACCUCCCUUGGGAGCAGCCUGGUCUCCUGACGUUGACCUCUGACCCCUCACUUUCUGAACCCAUCCAGGGAAAUGUAAUUUGCCUGAUGACAUGCUAGUGGAGAAGGAAUGUGUCAUUUCAGUGCAUUUGUUGCCAUGUUUCCUCUCCUCACCUAGCCUCCUAGAUUUCUUCAAGUCCUAGACUAUGGCAACAUCAUCAGCAACUCAGACUGUUGGUUGGGGACCUCUUUACUGAGGAAUGUGGUUGUUCUUCAUGAUAGUUUUUUUGUAUUUUCUUGGAGUAUUAUCUAUGCUGCCGUGAUUGGGAUUUUUGUGUAAUUGUGAGUUACAAAAGAGUCCUUGGUCUCAGUGGGACUGCUAAAAUAGAUAAAUGUCUUAAUAAAUACACUACCGUUCAAAAGUUUGGUGUCACUUAGAAAUGCCCUUGUUUUCCAUGAAAACAUACAUGAAAUGAGUUCAAAAUUAAUAGGAAACAUAUUCAUGGAAUGGGUACAUCGAAAAUCUCUUCCCAACUAUUUUGCAAUUUAUAUGGCACAGCUGUCAGU